GCUUCCUUGUAUUAAACCCUUUGUUUGUAAAUUCAAUGUAAUAUUGUUGGCUCUGUGACACAUUGCAUGUUAUUUUCUUGAAGAUCAUCAUAGAUGUCCUGCUGCACCCCCUGGGGUCCAAGACAAUCUCCACGGCUAUGACCUCGACUAUAGACAAGAUCUUGAUGCCAUCCACACCCAGUACAUGACGAAGGUUUUCUGGGAUCCACAGUGGAAGGCAUCAAGGCGUGAGAUGUUGGCUGGACAGAUGUACCUGUACACCACACCGACCUCUGCUUUUACAUGGAUGGCGGAUUACUAUCAUGUUCUGUAAAGGUUUCAUUAUAGCAAAACAGAGCACCUGUGACAGUGGAAUCUGUAGGUGUAACGUAGUCAGUUAAAAGUAGUCAGGUGUAAAGUAGUCACAGAGAGAACGUUUUUUUUUUUUUAAGUUUCAAACUUUUUUCUCUUUCACAAAAAACACUGCAGUUACAGCUUUUCAAAUUCUUCAUUGGAGGUGUACAAAUAAUUUUCUUUUU